AUGCGUGUUGUUUUUUGAUUGGUAGAUUUAAAUAAAGCUGAUACUAAUCAAUGACCUUGAAGGAUAAUUUGGUCACAAGCACAACUGACAUAAUUGAUGUUGUCAUGUAAAAUAUGUCUAACCUCUUUACGCAAUGACUAAAAAAUAUCUAUCUCGCUCCAUUGAGGUAGCUUUCUUUAAGUUAGAGAGGUCACGAAAAAAUUUUGUUGAUUCUUUAUAAAAAUAAUUCCUUGACCAUAUUUGACGUAAAAUGCCACAUGUCCAUUAUAUAUAGGUGUCAAAGCACCGUGCGUUCGUCACUGCGGCACAGUCGCGACUGUCUGCACCCCACGCCCCGAGUUCGAGGUGCGUAGGUAUAGCUCGCGUUUCGACCUCUAGUAUGAAGUCAAACUACUACUUGUAUAUAUUUUUACUGUGGCAUUGCUUAGACUAUCCACAGAUUAAAUACAUAGAAUAUUCGAUUACUGAUCGAUGUUUGGCUGUUUUGUCAAAAGAAUCGAUUCUUUUUAUAAAUUGUUUUUAUUACAAAUUUGAUAAAAUUAAGGUUUAAUAAUAUACUUUAAUACUUUCAAAUGAAACGUUACUCCAUCUUUUACUAAACUACAAGUUUUUGGCCGUUUUUUAUGCCAUUUAACUACACAAACCGGCAUUUUUAGGGAGCUCUUUACUCGACGAAAACGAUUACAACAAUGAAACAUCGAUUCUGUAGCAACAGUUUUUAUAAACGCGUUAGAUCAUAGAUUUUUGAUCUUUGACAGAGGGGUAACAGUUAGCGAGCCAAGUCCUGUUAUUAAUGGUCUAAGCAUACCGUAGACCAAGAUAAUAGACAUUAGACAUAGGUCAUAGACAAUGUUACAGAAUUACAGAUGUUUAUUGCAAAGAGUAGAGUAAGCGUAAGUAUUGGGGUAUUGUUCUAUGAUGGUUUUAAGGAGAUCAUAACUCCUGAGUAAAUAUGUUCCUUGAUCUUAUCGGCUGUAUUUGUUUGACUUUGAUGACUUUGAUUAUUUUGAAGUUUGGUUUGUGGAAAUGUGGAUGUGGACAUCAAAGCAAACAGUCACAAAUUUAUUGUAUUUAUUAUUUAACUAUUUGUAUUUAGUAAUGAAUAUGGUGGACACUGGAUAUUUAAUUAGCUAUGUGCGUUUUUGGACGCCACGGCCAGCGGCAGGCUGAGGCACCAAGCAAGCAAUAAGGGUACUUGGCAAGGGCCAGAGGGCUAGAGCCAGAGCCAGAUAGCCUUGGUAAAAUGGUAAUUGUUUGUAUUAGAGGUGAGUCGUACUCGCUAAAACGCGUACUGAGUAUUACGAAUACGAGUACGCCGAGAGACGCGCUCCAAAGACUAGCUCCACGAGUAUUUAGAAGUACGAGCCAUUAGGACCUAUAGAAUAGAUACGUACUCCUAAAUACUCAGUGGCCAGCGAUUUUACAUCAUAUUAUCUGAUAGUAAGCGUACAUUAAUUUCAACCGAGUUCUACACAGUCAUUUGGACUAGUGGUAUGUACGCUAGAUACGAUAAACUAAGAAUCCUGAGUUCGAUCCCGGGUAACAGAAAAUCAUUUUUGUCUUUUUAUUUUGUUUUUCUCAAUUGUUUUCUUCAACUAUUUUUGGUUUUGUAAUCCACAAAAAAAAAAUGCAAAAAAAAUAUUUCAGUCAUUAAUUUCAAAAUUUCAAUUUAAUUUUAUUAUCUAGUUAUUUCUUUUAAUAUUACCUCAUGAUACUGUCGGUUUACAUUAACUUGUUACUUUAGCGGAUAAAUAAUCAUACUAAAACAAUAAAUGAUCACAUUAUGUUUUUAAAAUAAGGAUUAAAAUCAGGGACUCACUCACGCAUGCUUCAGUACGAUGUUUGGAGUAUUAAGUGUAUACUGCGUUAAAAAUUCGGUCUUAUAUUUGAUAAGGUAAAGACAAUUUUUCAUCGGCAAUGGGACGUCACUCACACAUUCUUAAACGAACGCGUCCGGGAACGCGUCUCGCGAGGUUUUGACUGUUGGAGUAUGAAGUGUUUAUUGCGUUGAAAAACCGGUCUUAUGUCUAGACAACAAAGUCUAUUUUCUUUCGGCAUUGAUAGAAGUCUCUCACUCACUCAUUACUAAUCGAACGCGUCUCUGAACACGUCCCGUAUUGGUUGGACCGUUAGAGUAUUUGCGAGUAUUGGACUCGCACUCUGUUGACGUCUUGCGCUCCUCGGUACUCGGUACUUCUAAGGGCAUAAACUGCGUUACGCGUGUGUACGCACGUGAGCACGUCGCGGGCCACGCUUCUGGUGCACGCACGUGAGCACGUUCGCGUGCUUAUGCGCGGGCAUCGGCGCGUGCAUCCGCGUCGCAGUUUUCUCAGUACAAUUUUGACGUUGGAGGUGUACAGUCGAGUAAUUAUGGAUAAAUUAAUGUUGUAUUAUUUAUCAAGACGACGGCGACGACGAAUUGCCAAAAAAAGACGCCAGCCAGUAAGCCCGUACGUUGAAUCUAGGUUACUGUGCGGGGAAUUCGUGGUGAAGUUUGGUAUAUUAAGAGAAAAUGAAAGGUUUUUUUUCAAAUAUUUUAAAGUUUCAUUACAAGUCUAUGAUGAAUUAUAUUCAAAACUGGAGCCCUAUUUGAAGACUAACAAUCUACGAUUGAAAUCUACGUCAAUCGUAUCACCAAUGGAACGAUUUGCAAUGACAUUGCGGUAAGUAAAGACAUUUCGAUAUUAAUAAUCAUCUUUAUUCAUGUAAAAAACAGUCAUUAUUUAACAAAAGUUUAGAACACUCAUAUUUUUUUGCCAAUUUAUGUAAGUCACAUUACUGUUUAGCCACAUCAAGCAAGAAAGAAGAAGAAGUUCUUAUUGUUUCGGCAGUGACACCUGAAUAUGGCUUAAAAUGUUUUUCUUGAUGUGGUUCACUCUGUUCUUAGGACCGAAACACAUAACCGCACACUUAUUAAUCAUCAUAUUAAUCACAGUUUCUUACAUUUAUUAAUUAUAUUUUGUUAUUUCUAAAUUACACAGUUUUAUCGUUUUCGUUUUUUGUUUUAUCUAUACCUACUUAUUCACUAAUUUUUUUAUAUACUUAAUCACAACAGUCAUCACAGUGUCUUGCAUAAACGCUACGUUACAAUUAGUUUUUGAUUAAUCAUUUGAAAUACACUAAUAAAAUCACAGGUUCAAGUUUAAAAUAAAAAAACACAAUAACAGUUAAAACAGUACAAUAAGUCUAAAUGUCUUAAUUAUAUUAAUAUACCUACCUUACAAAGUAUUAAUUAUAAUGACGCAUAUUGAUUGCAAGUUUUUACAUAUGAAUAUUUCCCUUAUUAAUUAUUCCCUUCUAUUACUAGAUCGGGUACUAAUAUUAUUUUAAAUUCUUAUUUAUCAUCACAAUCAUAAUCACAGUUUACUACAUAAAAGAUUAAAUUUAAGAAGAGGACAUAUGAAGGAGCAAUGUUAUGAGUAGGUUCAAAAAAAAGGUCCAUUAAGUAAAAAAGGGGUCUAUUGAUACACUUUUUUAUUUGACCCCAAAAUAGGGUUUAAGAUAAAAGUGUCCGAAUCGACCCCGUUUCUUUCCUUAUGAACAUUACACCUCAAGGCUUGUAAACUUUUGGCGAAUGCCCUUGCAUAUCAUAAUAAUUGCACGUGAGACCAGAAAAAUAUAAAUAUAAAAUUGCGCUUUUUACUAACUUAAAUAGUUCUUCAUGUUCUUCUCUUUCUUUUGUUCUUAAUAAUUAAACAGUCUUAAUCAAAUCUUCAAAGUCUUUCUUGUUACCUAUUUAUUCAUUGUUCGUAUCUGAUCUUACAUUUAAGGAUUCUAAAUCAUUCGUUACCGUAUUUUGCGUUAAUGAAAGGUCAUCAAUGGUAAUAAUCAUUUCUUUUUCUAUAUCAAUCAAAGCUUCUAAUACUUUCGUACGAAAUAAUAAUUUUUUAAAGGAACUCAAUUUUUUUACAGUUGGUAAUAAUGACUUAAAAAAAUUCAAGUCUUCGUCCAUAUUAUCUGCAGUGUUAUUCUUCACGCAAUUUAACAACUCUAAUUCGAAAUCAGUUGGCGAUUCGCACUUACGUUUCUUGGAAGAUCGUGUUUCUUUGGUAACGCUGGAGCUGGUGCUAGAUAUUUAGUCAGUGGACAUACCUUCGUCGAUAUUCAUCUGGCGUAUCAUACAGGACUAACCACGGUCAGAAAAAUAGUAACAGAAGUUUGUCAAAUUAUAAUUGAAAGGUUAAAGGAAGAAUGUAUACCAAAAUUUUCCCGUGCGCUAUGGGAAGAGACUGAAAAAGGUUUUUUAACGCAAGCCCAGUUUCCUAACUGCAUAGGUGCAAUAGACGGAAAACAUAUACGCAUUAUAAGACCUCCACAUAGUGGUUCCCUCUAUUACAACUAUAAGCAUUACUAUUCUAUUGUACUGCUUGCAAUGUGUAACGCCAACUAUGAGUUUACCUAUAUAAACGUGGGAGUGCAGGGUAAAGAAUCUGACUCCGCAAUUUUCACACAAAGCCGAUUGUACGAACAAAUCAACAAUGACUUAAUAGAUAUUCCUCCUGCCAAAGCAUUGCCCGUAAUACACAAUGAUAAACCAACAAACAUUGCUGCAACCGCAGCUUUGCCCUAUAUUAUUGUAGGAGAUGAAGCAUUUGGGUUAUCUAGCCAUGUCAUGCGGCCAUAUGCUCGAGCUCUCGAUUUAAACUACAAAAAAAAAAUAUUCAAUUAUAGGUUAACGAGAGCGCGACGUUAUAUUGAGUGUACAUUUGGUAUCAUGGCUAAUAAAUUUCGCAUACUCCAUCGUCCAUUGAACGUUGGAAAAGACAAAGCAAUUUGUUUUCUUAAAACAAUUUGUAUUUUGCAUAAUUUUAUAAGAUCAAGAAGUCAAAUUAAUGACUUUCAUGAUAUUGUCAUUAUACCAGACCAUAUACGUUCAGUUCGGGGGUUAAUUGGAAAUACCCACAGAGAUUCGUAUACAUUACGCGAUAACUUCGCAGAUUAUUUCGUUGCAGACGGACAGCUGUCAUGGCAAGAUCGCAGUAUUUAUUGAAGAUAGUUGGCUUUUUUAACCGACUUCAAAAAGGAGGAGGUUAUCAAUUCGUCGGAAUCUUUUUUUUUUUUUUUUUAUUUUUUUUUUUUUUAGGUAUGUUCGGAGAUUACUCGAAAACGGCUGAACCGAUUUGGAAAAUUCUUUUUUUGUUUGAAAGGGUGUCGUUUCUAGUUGGUCCCAUGAAAACCAGGUUGCGAUCUGAUGAUGGGAUCCUGGGAAACUUGAGGGAAUCUUUUUAAUAUUAUAGGUACACUCGAAGCGAUAACGAUAUUUUCUGAAGUAACUUGCAUGAUAAUGCAAUUUAUGAAGAUACAGAGCUGAUCUGAUGCUGGAUCCGGAAGGUGGCCAUAGGAACUCUGCAAUAAAACGAGAUAGCUCCAACAAAUUUGGGCUCGUUUGAUUCGUAUUGCCGAGCACUUUUACCCUAUAUGGAAAUCAAGGAAUAUUACGAAGACAUAGCUGAUCUGAUGCUGGAGCCGAAACAUGGCUAUAGGAACUCUGCAAUAAAACAAGAUAACUCCAACA